AUGACAACAGCAGCUAAGCCAACUUUUGAACCUGCGAGAGGUGGGAGAGGAAAAGGAGAAGGUGAUUUGAGCCAACUCUCAAAGCAAUAUUCGAGUAGAGACCUACCUUCUCAUACAAAGAUAAAAUAUAGACAAACUACUCAGGAUGCCCCUGAAGAGGUUCACAACUGUGACUUCAGGAGAGAGCUGGAAGAGAGAGAGUGAGCUGCUGCAAGAGAAACAAAUAGAGAUCGCCCAACACGAGAACAUACAACCUCCUCUUCAGUAUCAAAGAAACCUCAGUUAGACCAGAUUCCUGCUGUCAACCUUGAUGCAGAUGAUCCUCUAACGGGUGAGGAAGAUGAAGAUGAAGACUUUGAAGAGGAGAGUGAUGAGGAUGAUACUGCAGCUCUUCUUGCAGAAAUAGAAAAAAUUAAAAAAGAAAGAGCUGAAGAGCCGGCCAGGAAGGAACAAGAGCAGAAAGCUGAAGAAGAAAGAAUACGUUUGGAAAACAUUUUGAGUGGAAACCCUCUCCUUAAUCUCACUGGCCCAUCCCAGCCUCGGGCCAACUUCGAAGUUAAAAGAAGGUGGGAUGAUGAUGUUUUCAAGAACUGUGCAAAAGGUGUAGAUGAUCAGAAGAAAGACAAAAGAUUUGUAAAUGAUACGCUGCGAUCUGAAUUUCACAAAAAGUUCAUGGGGAAAUAUAUUAAAUAGUACAGUUUUAUGUGCUUAAUUAAAGACUGUAAAACGUAAA